GACGAACGCUGGCGGCGUGCCUAAUACAUGCAAGUUGAGCGAUGAAGAUUGGUGCUUGCACCAAUUUGAAGAGCAGCGAACGGGUGAGUAACGCGUGGGGAAUCUGCCUUUGAGCGGGGGACAACAUUUGGAAACGAAUGCUAAUACCGCAUAAUAACUUUAAACAUAAGUUUUAAGUUUAAAAGAUGCAAUUGCAUCACUCAAAGAUGAUCCCGCGUUGUAUUAGCUAGUUGGUGAGGUAAAGGCUCACCAAGGCGAUGAUACAUAGCCGACCUGAGAGGGUGAUCGGCCACAUUGGGACUGAGACACGGCCCAAACUCCUACGGGAGGCAGCAGUAGGGAAUCUUCGGCAAUGGACGAAAGUCUGACCGAGCAACGCCGCGUGAGUGAAGAAGGUUUUCGGAUCGUAAAACUCUGUUGGUAGAGAAGAACGUUGGUGAGAGUGGAAAGCUCAUCAAGUGACGGUAACUACCCAGAAAGGGACGGCUAACUACGUG
rnacentral:rRNA from 1 species